rnacentral:rRNA from 1 species
ACGGCGAGUGAAGCGGGAACAGCUCAAAUUUGAAAUCUGGCCUUCGGGUCCGAAUUGUAAUUUGCAGAGGAUGCUUUUGGUUAGGUACUUUCCGAGUUCCCUGGAACGGGACGCCUUAGAGGGUGAGAGCCCCGUACGGUUGGAUACCGAGCCUUUGUAAAGCUCCUUCGACGAGUCGAGUAGUUUGGGAAUGCUGCUCUAAAUGGGAGGUAAAUUUCUUCUAAAGCUAAAUACCGGCCAGAGACCGAUAGCGCACAAGUAGAGUGAUCGAAAGAUGAAAAGCACUUUGAAAAGAGGGUUAAAUAGCACGUGAAAUUGUUGAAAGGGAAGCGUUUAUGACCAGACUUUUUCCAGGCGGAUCAUCCGGUGUUCUCACCGGUGCACUUCGUCUGGUUAAGGCCAGCAUCGGUUUUCGUGGGGGGAUAAAAGCGGUGGGAAUGUGACUCCUCCGGGAGUGUUAUAGCCCGCCGUAUAAUACCUCCAUGGGGACCGAGGUUCGCGCAUCUGCAAGGAUGCUGGCGUAAUGGUCAUCAACGACCCGUCUUGAAACACGGACCAAGGAGUCGAACAUUUGUGCAAGUGUUUGGGUGUUAAACCCUCACGCGUAAUGAAAGUGAACGGAGGUGAGAGCCCUUACGGGUGCAUCAUCGACCGAUCCUGAUGUUUUCGGAUGGAUUUGAGUAAGAGCAUAACUGUUCGGACCCGAAAGAUGGUGAACUAUGCGUGGAUAGGGUGAAGCCAGAGGAAACUCUGGUGGAGGCUCGCAGCGGUUCUGACGUGCAAAUCGAUCGUCAAAUCUGCGCAUGGGGGCGAAAG